rnacentral:misc_RNA from 1 species
UCCGGCUUAUCACCGGCAGUCCCUUUAGAGUGCCCAACUAAAUGAUGGCAACUAAAGGCGAGGGUUGCGCUCGUUGCGGGACUUAACCCAACAUCUCACGACACGAGCUGACGACAGCCAUGCAGCACCUGUGUAGGCUGGUAUUGCUACCUCGUCCCGCUUUCACGGUUCUACUACCUACAUGUCAAGGCCAGGUAAGGUUCUUCGCGUUGCAUCGAAUUAAGCCACAUACUCCACCGCUUGUGCAGGCCCCCGUCAAUUCCUUUGAGUUUCAACCUUGCGGUCGUACUCCCCAGGCGGGGUACUUCCUGCGUUAGCGCCGGCACCCAGGGGGUCGCUCCCCCAAGCACCUAGUGCCCAUCGUUUACAGCGUGGACUAC